UCCUUGAGGGUCCUGAAGGAACGUUGAAGACGACGACGUUGAUAGGCCGGGUGUGUAAGCGCAGCGAUGCGUUGAGCUAACCGGUACUAAUGAACCGUGAGGCUUAACCUUACAACGCCGAAG
rnacentral:rRNA from 1 species